GCUUUCAUCGAAAUCAUUGAAAAUUGAUUGGGAACGUCUUGUUCUCUCCCUUGUGCAUGUAGCCUCAAGAUCGUUCGCCUUUCUACACUUUCCUCUCUUGUGGCCAAUUCGAUUGCAAUCCACACAAAAAUCCAGCUUAACUUCAUAGCUUACCUUUAACUCAACUUGCGCUCUGGUAGGUAAAGCAAUUGGCACCUCAAAAACUCUCUCCGCUUGCACAUCUAUCUCCACAAGAAGCCAAGGAUAUGUGAGUUGCUCUUUCGUCUGUGUAAGUUUGUCCGUAUAAAGAGCCUUGCGAAUUUCCAAAUCAAUCAAACUUAGUACCCUUAGAGUCCAACAAUCCGAAGGAAGACCAUGGAUUUUAACCUAAGCUGGGAUAUAUCGACCAUCUUCAUCAAAGAGGAAACAACUCGGCAUAUGUUUAAAAAAUAAUGAAAUACCAAAAGCAAAGUAUAACCCUCCAAGCAGAAUACGAUCUCUGUCCUCUGCUUUGUCAAAUUUAUAAACAACCUAUCCACUCUUGUCCAUGAAGAAACUAUUAGGAACACCUAAUGAUUCUCAAUGAACUCCACACCACCAUGUCUCAAGUGCCUCCUCAUAAAACAUUCUACCAAUCAAUGACCCAUCACAUGCUCUAUCGAUAUCAUCAGUCUUGAUUUGAAUCCGUUGACCUGACCUGAUUUCGAAUUGAUGUAGGGGACUGCCAUACUUAUUUCCAGAUUACCUUUGAUUAGAUUAGCCCAAGAUAUGAUUUGCCACGUUCCGCUUGUGCGGCUUGUUCUCUCCCCUGACUGUCCGGAUCCGCAGUCGCACCCUGUGCCACUGUCACAUCCUCAUUCUGUCCAGUAAGCCCUGCCCCUUCCGUCCUUGUUGUGCCAACUACAUGUAUCAACUCCUCAGCCCUCGUAGUGGGUAUAGCCACCUCAGUUAUCCGUGAUACUUAGCUUCGACGUUGGCAUCCACAUUAGCAGAAGCGUCAGCAUUUUUGCCAGCCAGCAAUGCUCUCGCGCCAGAGGUAGAAGAUACUGCAACGAAGAAGUGCUUGCUGUAUCUUCUACCUCUCUCGCCUGUAAGUCCCGACGAAAAGAAGGCAGGGAGCAAGGAGCUGAAGGCUCCCAUUUCUGAGGAAGUAAAAAUGGAGUCUUUUCUCUGGAUUAGAUCGGACUCUGUGCUUCUGCGCAGUGGAGAUUGGCGCCAUUGAGAUUUAAGACAUGCUACAGAGCAGAUGUUGAUGUUCCAAUGGCGUACGAGUUCUUAGUUCGGAUGUCUGCGUUGAGAUUUAACAAGAGAAAUAAAAUUUACAUAUAUUUUUUUUACAA